rnacentral:rRNA from 1 species
UUCGGCCUGAACUCAGACAUGAUU